UACGAAGGGGGCUAGCGUUGCUCGGAAUCACUGGGCGUAAAGCGCACGUAGGCGGAUUGUUAAGUCAGUGGUGAAAGCCUGCAGCUUAACUGCAGAACUGCCAUUGAUACUGAUGAUCUUGAGUAUGAUUGAGGUGGGCGGAAUGUGUCAUGUAGCGGUGAAAUGCUUAGAUAUGACACAGAACACCGAUUGCGAAGGCAGCUCACUAAGCCAUAACUGACGCUGAUGCACGAAAGCGUGGGGAGCAAACAGG
rnacentral:rRNA from 1 species